rnacentral:tRNA from 1 species
GCACCUGUGGCUCAAAAGGGUAGGGCGCCGGCCCCAUGUGCCGGAAGUGGCAGGUGCA